rnacentral:rRNA from 1 species
UACGUAGGGGGCAAGCGUUGUCCGGAAUCAUUGGGCGUAAAGCGCGCGUAGGCGGCCCGGUAAGUCCGCUCUGAAAGUCCAGGGCUUAACCCUGGAAAGCGGGUGGAUACUGCCGGGCUUGAAUCCGGAAGAGGCGAGUGGAAUUCCUGGUGUAGCGGUGGAAUGCGCAGAUAUCAGGAGGAACACCGGUGGCGAAGGCGGGUCUCUGGGCCGAUACUGACGCUGAGGAGCGAAAGCGUGGGGAGCGAACAGG